GGCCAUGUUUUAUGUUGUGUCAGCAAGAUCCAUCUAAAUUGUCAUAAAUCAUCUGACAAGGUAGUAUCCAACAUAGAAGAAAAUGGAAAUAAAAUGUAAGGGCAUAAGUUCAGCAUGGCUAUCUUCUGAGAGGCUCUACCAGCAGCUUACUGAGAAAGAUGCAGAUACAGCCAACCAUUGGACUGAAAUCGGGGACCUCUAUAGAAGAAUUAUGAGACAGAUUGAAAGAUCUGAAGUGGAUGGCAACCCCAUAGGGAGAGCAGAAGUAUUAAUAAACCCAGAGCCCUGGAAUCUCUCAGGGACUAAAAUAUCAACUAAAGAGCAUGCAUGGGCUGGUCUGAGGCUCCCGGCAUGCAUGUUGAAGAGGAUUGCCUUGUCUUCCCUCAGUGGGAGAAGAUGUGCCUACUCUAGUAGAGACUUGAAGCUCUAAGAAAUAGAUAUUUGGUUGGAGGUGGUAUACGUACCCUUUGAAAGGCAAAAAGCAGGGGGGUAAAGAACUCUAGAAGUGGGGAC
rnacentral:lncRNA from 1 species